GGAGUAUUUGAUUAUGGUUCUUCAUUCCGUUUUUUUGUACAUCACAUGAUGCUUUAGGGGCUUAGGUGUGUUACACCAACAUCAGUGUAAAAUUUUUAACAACUUAGUAAAUUAAGGUUGAGUGGAAAAGACCGAAGCGGCUAAUAAUGGAUGCCAGCAGUCGCGGUUAGAUCUGUGUCUUUUAGGAAUGGGUUCGGUUAGGUUAGAAGCUUGAGGCAUUUAUGGGUGGUAUUCCUUUCUUUGGGUGUAAUCUGGAUUGGUGAAUGUGCUUAUACCUAUUCAGAGGUUUCUUACGUAAGUAUGGAUUAAAACCGGGAUUAGAGACCCCGUUAUUCAUAAAGUAAAGCAUGCAAUACCAGGUCACUAAAAGUUUGUUCUAAAAAGUUAAAUAAUUAGGCGGUCCUCAACAAACUAACAGGGGAAUCUGAGGGUUAAAAGAAGGUCCGCUUACAUUUGUUCCUUUCUUUAAAAUGCAUGUGUAUGGUUGUUUAUAAUCCAUAUAAUGAAGUAUGGGUGUAGUGUAGUCUUUAUAAAAUAAUUCAGAUUAACAUGCAGCUAUAGAAAGGCCACUUUGGAUGACAGUUGAUAGCUUCAAGUCAGACCAAGCAAGGAAACAUGUUUGUAAAGACGGACUUGUCAGUAAGUUUUUUAAAUAAUAAAAAACUGAACUGGAAAAUGGGGGAGUACGAAUCGCCCGUCGCUCACGGAGAAAUCUGAGAUAAGUCGUAACAAGGUAAUGAUACCGGAAGGUGUUGUUAGAUUAUA
rnacentral:ncRNA from 1 species